UACGAAGGGGGCUAGCGUUGCUUGGAAUCACUGGGCGUAAAGGGUGCGUAGGCGGGUCUUUAAGUCAGGGGUGAAAUCCUGGAGCUCAACUCCAGAACUGCCUUUGAUACUGAAGAUCUUGAGUUCGGGAGAGGUGAGUGGAACUGCGAGUGUAGAGGUGAAAAUUCGUAGAUAUUCGCAAGAACACCAGUGGCGAAGGCGGCUCACUGGCCCGAUACUGACGCUGAGGCACGAAAAGCGUGGGGGAGCAAACAGGGAUUAGAAAACCC
rnacentral:rRNA from 1 species